rnacentral:rRNA from 1 species
AACAAACGCUGGCGGCGUGCCUAAUACAUGCAAGUCGAACGGGGAAAGCUUUCGGGUGAGUACUAGUGGCGCACGGGUGAGGAACGCGUGGAUAAUCUGCCUUAGAGUGGGGGAUAACUAGUCGAAAGAUUAGCUAAUACCGCAUAAGACCACAGGAGCUGCGGCUCAAGGGGUCAAAGGUUUUUCGCUCUAAGAUGAGUCCGCGUAAGAUUAGCUAGUUGGUGAGGUAACGGCUCACCAAGGCGACGAUCUUUAACUGGUCUGAGAGGAUGAUCAGUCACACUGGAACUGAGACACGGUCCAGACUCCUACGGGAGGCAGCAGGAGGGAAUAUUGCACAAUGGAGGAAACUCUGAUGCAGUGACGCCGCGUGAGUGAUGAAGGCCUUCGGGUCGUAAAGCUCUGUCGCAGGGGAAUAACACAAUGAAUGUACCCUGUAAGAAAGGAUCGGCUAACUUCGUGCCAGCCGCCGCCGUAAGAC